UCAAGCUAAAAAGAGCACAGGGCGGAUGCCUUGGCACCAAGAGCCGAAGAAGGACGUGGUAAGCUGCGAAAAGCCAUGGGGAGCUGCAAACAAGCUACGAGCCAUGGAUGUCCGAAUGGGGAAACCCGGCGGCGGGAAAGCGCCGUCAACGUAAGAUGAAUCCAUAGUCUUACGUGGGGAACCCGGUGAACUGAAACAUCUAAGUAGCCGGAGGAAGAGAAAGAAAGAUCGAUUUUCAAAGUAGCGGCGAGCGAAAUGGAAAGAGCCCAAACCGAACCUCUACGGAGGAUCGGGGUUUAGGACCAGCGGAAUCGAAGCGACGGGUAGUUGAAGAGCAGUGGAAACUGCCACCGGAGAGGGUAAAAGUCCCGUAAGCGAAACGAGUUGCAAGAGGCUGGGAUCCAGAGUACCACAGGACACGAGGAAUCCGGUGGGAAGACGGGGGGCCCACCCCCCAAGGCUAAAUACUACUUGGUGACCGAUAGCGAAUAGUACCGUGAGGGAAAGGUGAAAAGCACCCCGGGAGGGGAGUGAAAGAGUACCUGAAACCCUGUGUUUACAAGCAGUGGGAGCGAAAGCGACCACGUACUUUUUGUAGAACGGGCCGGCGAGUUACUGUAGGCAGCGAGGUUAAGGUGUAGAGCACCGGAGCCGAAGCGAAAGCGAGUCUCAAAUGGGCGAAAGUUGCGUGCAGUAGACCCGAAACCGGGUGACCUAUCCAUGGACAGGAUGAAGCGGUGGUAAAGCACUGUGGAGGUCCGAACCACACGUACGUUGAAAAGUGCGGGGAUGAGCUGUGGAUAGCGGAGAAAUUCCAAUCGAACUCGGAGAUAGCUGGUUCUCCCCGAAAUAGCUUUAGGGCUAGCCUCGAUUUAGAUUCAUGGGGGUAGAGCACUGAAUGGGCUAGGGGGCCACAAAGCUUACCGAACCCUAUCAAACUACGAAUACCAAGGAAUCGAUGAUCGGGAGUCAGACAGUGAGAGAUAAGUUCCAUUGUCGAGAGGGAAACAGCCCAGACCUACGACUAAGGUCCCAAAGUACACGUUAAGUGGAAAAGGAUGUGCAGUUGCACAGACAACCAGGAUGUUGGCUUAGAAGCAGCCAUACAUUUAAAGAGUGCGUAAUAGCUCACUGGUCGAGUGAAUGUGCGCCGAAAAUGUACCGGGGCUAAACGUGACACCGAAGUCUAGGGAUCAGAAAUGAUCGGUAGGGGAGCAACGUAUACGGGAAGAAGCGUAAGCGGAAGCGAGCGUGGACUGUAUGGGAGAGAGAAUGCCGGCAUGAGUAGCGAGAGCAAAGUGAGAAUCUUUGCCGUCGAAAGCCUAAGGUUUCCUGAGGUAGGCUCGUCCACUCAGGGUAAGUCGGGACCUAAGCCGAGGACAGAAGUCGUAGGCGAUGGAGAUCAGGUUGAUAUUCCUGAACCGUCUUUAGCGUUUGACAGAAGCAGUGACACAGAAGGAUAGACAGAGCGGAGGAAUGGAAGACUCCGUCCAAGCGUUGAGGCCGUAACGUAGUGAAGUACGCGUUGCAAGGCUGGGGCGUGAAGGGGACCGAAAAUAAGUAGGGAAGCUGUUGAAUUCACGCUGGCGAGAAAAGCUGCUAUGGAGCGAAAAGGCGCCCGUACCGCAAACCGACACAGGUAGGCGAGGAGAGAAUCCUAAGACGAGCGGGAGAACCCUUGUUAAGGAACUCGGCAAAAUGACCCCGUAACUUCGGGAGAAGGGGUGCCUCGAGAGAGGCCGCAGAGAAUAGGCCCAAGCGACUGUUUACCAAAAACACAGGUCUGUGCGAAGUAGAGAUACGACGUAUACGGGCUGACGCCUGCCCAGUGCCGGAAGGUUAAGGGGAAGUGUCAGGGGGAGACCCCGAAGCACGGAACUUAAGCCCCGGUGAACGGCGGCCGUAACUAUAACGGUCCUAAGGUAGCGAAAUUCCUUGUCGGGUAAGUUCCGACCCGCACGAAUGGCGUAACGACUUGGGCACUGUCUCAACAAGGGAUCCGGCGAAAUUGUAGUAUGUGUGAAGAUGCACAUUACCCGCGAUAGGACGGAAAGACCCCGUAGAGCUUUACUGUAGUUUAACAUUGGAUUUUGAUAACAUAUGUACAGGAUAGGUGGGAGACGGAGAAAUGAGGACGCCAGUCUUCAUGGAGUCAACCUUGGGAUACCACUCUUGUGUUAUUGGAAUUCUAACGAGAUGCCGUGAACCGGGUUUCGGACAGUGUUAGAUGGGCAGUUUGACUGGGGCGGUCGCCUCCGAAAGAGUAACGGAGGCGUCCAAAGGUUCCCUCAGAAUGGUUGGAAACCAUUCGCAGAGUGCAAAGGCAGAAGGGAGCUUGACUGCGAGACCGACAGGUCGAGCAGGUACGAAAGUAGGGCUUAGUGAUCCGGCGGUAUGAGAGUGGAAUUGCCGUCGCUCAACGGAUAAAAGCUACCUCGGGGAUAACAGGCUUAUCUCCCCCAAGAGUUCACAUCGACGGGGAGGUUUGGCACCUCGAUGUCGGCUCGUCGCAUCCUGGGGCUGGAGUAGGUCCCAAGGGUUUGGCUGUUCGCCAAUUAAAGCGGCACGCGAGCUGGGUUCAGAACGUCGUGAGACAGUUCGGUCCCUAUCCAUCGUGGGCGCAGGAGAUUUGAGAGGAGCUGUCCUUAGUACGAGAGGACCGGGAUGGACGCACCAAGGGUGAAUCAGUUGUCG
rnacentral:rRNA from 1 species